rfam:Gossypium raimondii Chr03_contig_733, whole genome shotgun sequence.
AACCCAUGGUGAGGACACAUUUUCAAUAAGCCCUUGUAUCUCUCUCAUGCAUCAUAUAAAGUCUUUAAAUCGAUCUGGACAAAAGAAGAUAUGUCAUUCGUCAACUU